AAAAAGGAAGAGACAGAGUAAUAACGAGAAAAGGGAGAAAAAGAAUAAGAGGAAUACUGUGAAGGAAAGAUUGAAUGAGCCUCUCUCCUUUUCUUGCUGUCGAUAAAAGGUGUAAGCAAUAAGGAGAAAAUAAAUUAAUUUCUCAACAAAAAUUUUGAAAAUUAACUUCUCAGCCCCAAAAUAAAGACUGAACUGCGUAAUAUGAAUGGUAAUUGAGGUAAUUGUCAUUAGUAAUGGUCAUUGCAUUUGUAACAUAAAAGUCGUGUAUCAUAAAAUAAAUAUUUACCCUAAUAUUUGCCUUUCAAUUUUUUAAUGAUUGCUUCUUCCUUGAUGUGAGAUUCGUUCACAACGAAACUGUGCUCUUUACUUUUUUCCGGGUGGAAUGAGAGACAACGCAAGACAAAAAAAACUCUCCGAUUCAUAUCAGAUGUGGAACCUAUCUGAUAAGAUUGAUUGAUACUCAAAAUAGCAGCUUCGGUAAGUUUUCAGUCAAUCAAAUACAGGGUAACAAAUUAAUGGAAAAAAGUCAUUUGUCGUAAGUUAUUGUUAGUGAAGUGAUCUAAAUAUGACAUCGACGUGCGCUUUCAUCGUUAUGAUUGUUACCACCUACGCUUCGGCUGGGGUGAUUCCAGUGCCGGAAGAAAAUGCGUCAAGUAAUUUGUUGGAAGACGCAGUCGCAGUGCCAGUCCAUCAGCACAAAACUUUAGCUGCGUUGAUAGCCGAGCUCAAAGGUUUGGAGAUAUGGCGGCAAAACGAACUCAAAAAGGCCCUAGAGGACCCAGACUUGGUGAGAGAUCCAGAUGUAGUGAAGUAUCUGCAAUCUCUGGUGGAAUACGAUAAGCGAUGGUUCGUUUAUGCUGUCAGGCUACUUACCCGUAUCGAAACACUGGAUCAUCCAGGUGGCAAAACCGCGGAAGAAAUACAACAGGUGAAAUAAUGUUAUUUUCCUAACAUGUUUCUUUUACGGCUAAUGUCCAUCCCCGAGCCACAAUCACUUUCAAAAUUAUAUAAAAUCUCUGCACCAAAUUACAACCCUUAAAUUGAAUGUUCGGAGGUCACAAAUCGGUAGUUUCAAUAAUGGAAGAUUCCUAAAAAUUUUUCAUUAUUUUAUUGCCAGCUCGAGUAGUUAAUAUUGCAAGAAGAGUAGAAUCAUAAAAUUAUUCUGACUUGAAAUUCUGAAAAAUCUGUCGUAAUACUCGCAAACUAUUUAUUGUGGAGCACGAAAAGACUUUUGCUCGUUUUACAUACAUAAAUCAUAGUGGCUUCUUCGCGCGCUUCAGCACAAUCUGAUGCUUAAUAAUAUGAUAGCAGUUUGUUAGAAAAUCGCUUAAUAUUCACAGAUAAUUGAAAAGUACCAAUGACGAACAGUUGCAACAAUGUCAGGAAAUUUUCGAGGAUGGCUUUCAUACCAAUACAAAAUCCUGAUUUUAACCGUUAAUUAUUUUGAUGCUAGGACCAAUUAUGCACCGGGCCCCUUUUUUAGGCUCUGAAAGGGGGCUAAAGCAUGGGAGGUGUCGUCACGUUAACUGAGAAAAAAAACCCCAAAAAAAAAACUUUCAGUCUUUUUUCAUAUUGUCACUCCUCCUCUCUGA
rnacentral:lncRNA from 1 species